rnacentral:rRNA from 1 species
AUUGAACGCUGGCGGAAUGCUUUACACAUGCAAGUCGAACGGCAGCACGGACUUCGGUCUGGUGGCGAGUGGCGAACGGGUGAGUAAUGUAUCGGAAGGUGCCCAGUCGUGGGGGAUAACGUAGUGAAAAUUACGCUAAUACCGCAUACGAUCUAUGGAUGAAAGCGGGGGAUCGCAAGACCUCGCGCGAUUGGAGCGGCCGAUAUCAGAUUAGGUAGUUGGUGGGGUAAAGGGCCACCAAGCCAACGAUCUGUAGCUGGUCUGAGCGGACGACCAGCCACACUGGAACGGAGACACGGUCCAGACUCCUACGGGAGGCAGCAGUGGGGAAUUUUGGACAAUGGGCGAAAGCCUGAUCCAGCCAUUCCGCGUGCAGGAUGAAGGCCCUCGGGUUGUAAACUGCUUUUGUACAGAACGAAAAGGUUUCUACUAAUACUAGGAGCUCAUGACGGUACUGUAAGAAUAAGCACCGGCUAACUACGUGCCAGCCGCCGCCGUAA